AGAAAGUGAUGGCCGCAGAGGUGAAAGCCGGCCGUGCCAGGGGCCAGGAAACGGUUAAGAACAAAACCACCUAGAGAAUAAACAUGAAGGAAUCGCACAGGGCUCAGUGGAAAACGAAGCAGACAAAAGUGUUCAUACCGGAGAUAACUAAUAUUUUCAAAAGCCAAGCAGGAACUGAAACAAGGGGGAUACUUGGUGGCAUCUUGAGAGGAAAUUUUCCAAGAUAAAGAGAUGAAAAACACUGUUGUCUCAGGUGGAAAAGAGAAAAUAGAAGCAAAAAUCCAAAGCCUCGUGAGGCCACUGGUCACCAGAGAUGGAGGGAGAAAGAGUUCCACAAGGAGACCUUCAGAGCAGAGACAACGCCAUCACCGGGGCUCAGUGGGCAAAGACAUUCGUCCCUGAGCCUGAGGACCUGACAAGAGAGCUGACCAUUGUGAACACGUUUCUGAGGACACUGGUGUGUAUCUCCAGACGUACAGGGCUGAGUUGAAACUUCAGCCUUCAGUGCAGCGGACACCCUCAAUGAGUGACACCUGACAACAGCAGCCACAGAGAGGCCUCAACAACCUUCUUCGACACAAAAUCAAUCAUCUGCACAAGUGUCACAAAAACAGGGGUCUGGUCAAAUAAAGAAAUGAGAUUAUA